CCCUUAGAUGUUCUGGGCCGCACACGCGCUACACUGGCAGGUUCAUCGAGCUUCAUGCCCUGAUCUGAGAAGAACGGGAAAUCUUUGAACACCUGCCGUGCUUGGGCUAGAUGUUUGCAAUUAUUCAUCUUCAACGAGGAUUGCCUUGUAAGCGCACGUCAUCAGCGUGCAUUGAAUACGACCCUGUAUUCUGUACACACCGCCCGUCGCUCCUACCGAUUGAAGUUUUCGGUGAAUUUACUGGAGAUCCCUUUUGAAGGUGGUUCGCCACUGGAAGAAGUAUUCAAAAGUAAAUGAAUCGAAUGCUUUAGAGGAAGGAGAAGUCGUAACA
rnacentral:rRNA from 1 species